rnacentral:rRNA from 1 species
UACAGAGGGUGCAAGCGUUGUUCGGAAUUAUUGGGCGUAAAGCGCGCGUAGGCGGUUUUGUAAGUCGGGUGUGAAAUCCCCAGGCUCAACCUGGGAACUGCAUUUCGAGACUGCAUAGCUAGAGUAUGGGAGAGGGAAGUGGAAUUUCAGGUGUAGCGGUGAAAUGCGUAGAUAUCUGAAGGAACAUCAGUGGCGAAAGCGACUUCCUGGACCAAUACUGACGCUCAUGUGCGAAAGCGUGGGGAGCAAACAGG